GACGAACGCUGGCGGCGUGCUUAACACAUGCAAGUCGAACGGAAAGGCCCUGCUUUUGUGGGGUGCUCGAGUGGCGAACGGGUGAGUAACACGUGAGUAACCUGCCCUUGACUUUGGGAUAACUUCAGGAAACUGGGGCUAAUACCGGAUAGGAGCUCCUGCUGCAUGGUGGGGGUUGGAAAGUUUCGGCGGUUGGGGAUGGACUCGCGGCUUAUCAGCUUGUUGGUGGGGUAGUGGCUUACCAAGGCUUUGACGGGUAGCCGGCCUGAGAGGGUGACCGGCCACAUUGGAACUGAGAUACGGCCCAGACUCCUACGGGAGGCAGCAGUUGGGAAUAUUGCACAAUGGGCGGAAGCCUGAUGCAGCAACGCCGCGUGCGGGAUGACGGCCUUCGGGUUGUAAACCGCUUUCGCCUGUGACGAAGCGUGAGUGACGGUAAUGGGUAAAGAAGCACCGGCUAACUACGUG
rnacentral:rRNA from 1 species